rnacentral:rRNA from 1 species
GAUGAACGCUAGCGAUAGGCUUAACACAUGCAAGUCGAGGGGCAGCAUGGUCUUAGCUUGCUAAGACUGAUGGCGACCGGCGCACGGGUGCGUAACGCGUAUGCAACUUGCCUCACAGAGGGGGAUAACCCGUCGAAAGACGGACUAAUACCGCGUACACUUGGGAUAGGGCAUCCUGACCCAAGGAAAUGAAAUUCGCUGUGAGAUAGGCAUGCGUCCCAUUAGCUAGUUGGUGAGGUAACGGCUCACCAAGGCGACGAUGGGUAGGGGAACUGAGAGGUUGAACCCCCACACUGGUACUGAGACACGGACCAGGCUCCUACGGGAGGCAGCAGUGAGGAAUAUUAGUCAAUGGGCGAGAGCCUGAACCAGCCAAGUCGCGUGAAGGAUGACUGUCUUAUGGAUUGUAAACUUCUUUUAAACGGGAAUAACAAGAGUCACGUGUGGCUCCCUGCAUGUACCGUAUGAAUAAGCAUCGGCUAACUCCGUG